AGAUCUUCCUCUGGCCAUGUUUGUCGGUCAUCUUCUUCAGUCAUAGCAAAUAAGGACAAUGGUUCAUAUUUAUCUUCAUCUUUAUCUUGAUUGUCAUCAUUGUCGUCUUCAUAUACGGCCAGGAAUGCUUAAUUCAUGUCUUCCUCUAUAGCCGUUAUUUUAGUGACUUGAUCUUUAAUAAUUAGAGCCAUGAUCACGAUCCUCUU
rnacentral:lncRNA from 1 species